rnacentral:lncRNA from 10 species
AGCAGAUCUCAGAGGAUUAUUAUGCUUGAUGCUGCUGUUAGAGAUAUUUGCUGUCUUACAGGCAAAGGAGAGAUUGUGGAAAAAGAAUGGGAUAGAGGGUCUCUAACCCAGGCUGGAGUUCAUUGGCACAAUCUCAGCUCAUUACAGCCUUGACCUCCUGGACUCAAGCCAUCCUCCCACCUCGGCCUCCCAAGUAGCUGAAACCACAGGUAUGUGCAACCACACCCAGCUAAUUUUUGUAUUUUUUGUAGAGAGGAGGUUUUGCCGUGUUGCCCAGGCUGGUCUCGGACACCUGAGCUCAAGCA